AUUGAACGCUGGCGGCAUGCCUUACACAUGCAAGUCGAACGGCAGCGGGGGAGAAGCUUGCUUUUCCUGCCGGCGAGGUGCGAACGGGUGAGUAAUACAUCGGAACGUGCCCUGCAGUGGGGGAUAACUAGUCGAAAGAUUAGCUAAUACCGCAUACGACCUGAGGGUGAAAGUGGGGGACCGCAAGGCCUCAUGCUAUAGGAACGGCCGAUGUCGGAUUAGCUAGUUGGUGGGGUAAAGGCCCACCAAGGCGACGAUCAGUAGCUGGUCUAGGAGGACGAUCAGCCACACUGGGACUGAGACACGGCCCAGACUCCUACGGGAGGCAGAAGUGGGGAAUUUUGGACAAUGGGCGAAAGCCUGAUCCAGCAAUGCCGCGUGUGUGAAGAAGGCCUUCGGGUUGUAAAGCACUUUUGUCCGGAAAGAAAUGGCUCUGGUUAAUACCUGGGGUCGAUGACGGUACCGGAAGAAUAAGGACCGGCUAACUACGUGCCAGCAGCCGCGGUAA
rnacentral:rRNA from 1 species